UUGUUGCUUUUACAACGCUUUGAUAUUUAUUUACGUCAUGAAUAGCGCCAUAAAAGUUGAAUACAUGAUUAUUAUUUACCCAGAACAAUGGGCUGUAUUCAGGAGGGCUGUUAAGAUUGUAGUGUAGAUUUGAUGAGCAAAUUAAAAACAGUGACACCCACCCAUUUUACAUAAACUAGCUGGAUAAUGUUGCUCAAUGUUAUGGACACAUUUCCACUUUGUUUUUUGUAAUGUGUCUGUUAUGGUUAUUUAUUUAGCCUAAUCUCUUUUCUUAUUAACAGUUAUGCAGGUGCCCUUCCUCGUUCCUACAGGUACCUACCAUCCACACACAGUCCAAAAGGUUCCUACCGCUAUAAAGCAGUAUGGUCUUGGCCCAUACCAGAAAUAUGUAGACUUCAAAGUCCCUUCUAGAUCUAAUCUAAUGGCAUAUCAGAGAUCCACAGGCAAUUAUUUUUUAUCUUUCAAAAAGCAGAAAGGGAGAAUAUAUUCCUAUCCAACAUUUUCCAUAACAGCACUGCGAAAAGACCAUAAUACACACCACAAGAUGGUAACAUUAAAUCCACAACAUCUGACCCCUCAUUGUAGUUGUUUACCAAACAGAAUCCAAACUACAUUAAGUAUUGACACACACUAUACACUGAGUUAUUUUCCUAUAACGUUCAGGAAAUCCAAUCCACUCAUUUUAAAAAUCAGUAUUUUAAAAAUUAUUUAAUUAAAAAAAACAACCACAACUAGCCUUAAAACAUCCAUGUUUUUACUUCUCAGUUUUGGCAGUGUGGGUUUCACACCUAGAUACCAAAUUAGCAAUUAAGCCUGCCUUUGAGUGCAGGCCUAGACUGUGGUGUGUGAUCCUGCCCUGAUUUGCAUGCAGUUCGUUUGUGCACAGGCUGAUAAGCGCAGGCAGCCGUACAUAGUUUUAAAAUUCAACUCCAGAAUCCCUCUCGCAGAAGGCAGAGGGGCCCGCGGGGCGAACAGAGAGGGAGAAAUCACACGGCUGCUCUUCAAAAGGGAAACCUGUGUACAGCAGCCGGCAAAGUGCGUGGGAUCAUACUCAGAAUGCAGGUUGACUACUCGUACUUUCAAACAGCAGAACACUUCAACUCUUACAGUACACAUCUAAACAGCACAGACCAGGACACCCAGGUGACAGAGAAUCAGACAGAGAGGGGGAAAGAAAGUGAUGGAGAGAAAGAGGGAGAGAAGAAGAGUGUGUCGCAUUCCUUCCUGUUCCUGUACCACCCUCCAACCCCAGAGCUGCAGACUCAAGGCGGUUUCGAGAAUCAAACAAUUUCACGCAGCUACUGGAGGAGGAAAUGAACUGAGCCCAGAGCAAUAAUACAAUUAUACAAAUGUUAUUACAGACUCGCCUGCUACUGUCCUACUUUAAUUCAAAUUUGGGAACUCCAGGCAGCGCUGGUGGCAGAGACCUUCCUGAAUAAAUCAACAUUAGCUUACUUCUAAAUUAUUAAGGAAGUGGGAGACUUUCUUGUUUAUAGUAUGAAUUAUGAAACAAGUGUUUUACGCUGUUAUUCUUCAUGAAUCCCCAAAUAUUAAUUGCUAAUGAUCUUUAAGGUGUGUGUUUUAUCUCUGUGCCCCCCCCUAAGUUGUAUCGGCUGCUGAGAGGCAUUUUGCAUCAGAAGCUUUAAGUUUUGAAGAUUCUACAUACAGUAAAUGUGAGGAAUGUUAGAUUAGGAAAUGAAUUAAAGAUAAUGCCUUAGAUAAUGCCUUUCCUUUUUUUAUAAUAUGCAUGAUGUGCUUUAUUGGUUCUGUAUAGCACAAAUAAACCUCUUUCAGUUUGGUGUACUGUAGGACAAAUAUG